rnacentral:rRNA from 1 species
AAGACCUAGCAAUAGGUAUGCUUAGGGAAGAGCUUGCGUCACAUUAGUUAGUUGGUGGGGUAAUGGCCUACCAAGACGAUGAUGUGUAGCCGGGCUGAGAGGUCGAACGGCCACAUUGGGACUGAGACACGGCCCAAACUCCUACGGGAGGCAGCAGUAAGGAAUUUUCGGCAAUGGAGGAAACUCUGACCGAGCAAUGCCGCGUGAACGAUGAAGUAUUUCGGUACGUAAAGUUCUUUUAUUAGGGAAGAAAAGAUGGUGGAAAAACCAUUAUGACGGUACCUAAUGAAUAAGCCCCGGCUAACUAUGUGCCAGCAGCCGCGGUAAUACAUAGGGGGCAAGCGUUAUCCGGAAUUAUUGGGCGUAAAGGGUGCGUAGGCGGUUAAAUAAGUUUAUGGUCUAAGUGCAACGCUCAACGUUGUGAUGCUAUAAAAACUGUUUAGCUAGAGUUGGAUAGAGGCAAGUGGAAUUCCGUGUGUAGUGGUAAAAUGCGUAAAUAUACGGAGGAACACACAGAAGCGAAGGCGGCUUGCUGGGUCUUAACUGACGCUGAGGCACGAAAGCGUGGGGAGCAAACAGGAUUAGAUACCCUGGUAGUCCACGCCCUAAACGAUGAGUACUAAACGUUGGAUAAAACCAGUGUUGAAGUUAACACAUUAAGUACUCCGCCUGAGUAGUACGUACGCAAGUAUGAAACUUAAAGGAAUUGACGGGACUCCGCCCAAGCGGUGGAUCAUGUUGUUUAAUUCGAAGGUACCCGAAAAACCUCACCAGGUCUUGACAUGCUUUUGCAAAGCUGUAGAAAUACAGUGGAGGUUAUCAGAAGCACAGGUGGUGCAUGGUUGUCGUCAGCUCGUGUCGUGAGAUGUUGGGUUAAGUCCCGCAACGAGCGCAACCCUUGUUGUUAAUUGCCAUCAUUAAGUUGGGGACUUUAGCAAGACUGCCAAUGAUAAAUUGGAGGAAGGUGGGGACGACGUCAAAUCAUCAUGCCCCUUAUGACCUGGGCUACAAACGUGAUACAAUGGCUGUUACAAAGGGUAGCUAAAGCGUAAGCUUCUGGCGAAUCUCAAAAAAGCAGUCUCAGUUCGGAUUGAAGUCUGCAACUCGACUUCAUGAAGUUGGAAUCGCUAGUAAUCGCGU